rnacentral:lncRNA from 1 species
GGCUCAUGAAAUUUAUAAUUCUUCAGUUUAUGCCUUCAUCAAUUUCAUCUUGGGAAUGUGAAGCCCAAUUACAGAAGCAAAGUCCAAUAUUGCAAUGAUAUUUAGGAACACCACAACGGACUCUACAAUCUUCGUCUUUGGUGCAACAACAAAAGUUAACGUCCCUUGCUUCUGCCUUUGGUGAAACACCUAUUAUAUCAAAAGUCAGUAUUAUAUACUAACAUAUUAUAUACUAAAAAUCAAAGCAAAUAAAAAACUUACAGAUUCCCAUCACCAUGAAGAUAAGAAGAAAAACCAUUACUUUGAAAGCCAUAAUUUAGUAUUUAG